rnacentral:rRNA from 1 species
GACGAACGCUGGCGGCGUGCUUAACACAUGCAAGUCGAGCGAGGAGCUUGCUCCUAGCGGCGAACGGGUGAGUAACACGUGGGCAACCUGCCCCUGGCUCUGGGAUAACUCCGGGAAACCGGGGCUAAUACCGGAUAUGACUGUCGAGGACAUCCUCUGAUAGUGGAAAGAAUUUCGGCCAGGGAUGGGCCCGCGGCCUAUCAGCUUGUUGGUGAGGUAAUGGCCCACCAAGGCGACGACGGGUAGCCGGCCUGAGAGGGCGACCGGCCACACUGGGACUGAGACACGGCCCAGACUCCUACGGGAGGCAGCAGUGGGGAAUAUUGCGCAAUGGGCGAAAGCCUGACGCAGCGACGCCGCGUGAGGGAUGAAGGCCUUC